rnacentral:rRNA from 1 species
UACCUGGUUGAUCCUGCCAGUAGUCAUAUGCUUGUUUCAAAGAUUAAGCCAUGCAUGUCUAAGUACAAAACUUUCCUAAGUCGAAACCGCAAAUGGCUCAUUAAAUCAGUCAUAAUUUACUGGAUUUUGUAAAUCCUUACUCGGAUAACUGUGGUAAUUCUAGAGCUAAUACGUGCAAUUGAGCUCGGAACCCUUAGCCAUUCGUGGUGAAAGGGGGAAGGGCGCAGUUAUUAGAUUCAAAACCGAGCGGGCUCAUUUGAUUGAGCACCGUCUCCCUUUCGGGGGAGUUUUGAUGACUCUGAAUAACCCUUAGCCGAGCGUUGAGGCCUAGAGCCGGCGCCGUAUCCUUCGAGUGUCUGCCUUAUCAGCUGUCGAUUGUAGGCUAUACGCCUACAAUGGCUGUAACGGGUAACGGGGAAUCAGGGUUCGAUUCCGGAGAGGGAGCCUGAGAAACGGCUACCACAUCUAAGGAAGGCAGCAGGCACGCAAAUUACCCACUCCUGGCUCUGGGAGGUAGUGACGAUAAAUAACGAUGCGGGACUCAUCCGAGGCCUCGCAAUCGGAAUGAGACUAGUCUAAACCUUUGGACGAGGAUCCAUUGGAGGGCAAGUCUGGUGCCAGCAGCCGCGGUAAUUCCAGCUCCAAUAGCGUAUAUUAAAGUUGCUGCGGUUAAAAAGCUCGUAGUUUGACCUUAGACUCGUACCGGGGGCCCACCCAAGGGGAGUACCUCGCGGAGACCUCUUAACGCGUUGGUCAAAUUUUAUCGGUUGGCCGCUGGCGAAGCCUUUAAACUCCGUCGUCGGUUGGACGGUGCUAACUACCUACUACGCUGGCGUCGAUGACGUUUUGAACCUAGUGGACCGGUCGGGUUUGGUUUAUUCCUUUCCCUUCCGCCUAUUAUUCUUAACCUCUCUCGUUCGUUGGCAGGUUGGUUGGUGACGCUCUUUGCGUUCGGCGGGCUUCGUUACGCGCGCCUUCCGUUUUGCUCCUUCGCUCGAGAUGCUUACGAGCUUCGCUCUCCCGGUGGCAACCCGCUCGGAUACGUGUUUUUAAUAAACCCGUCGGUUCUCGCGGGGUGCUCUUUACCGAGUGUCUCGCGUGGCCGGCAACGUUCACUUUGAAAAAAUUAGAGUGCUCAAAGCAGGCAGAAUUUCACGCCUGAAUGUAUAUGCUUAGGAUGAAGGAACAGGACCUCGGUUCUGCAAUUUAUUUUUCUCUCGGUUUUUAUCGAACCGAGGUAAUGAUUAACGGGGGCGGACGGGGGCAUUGGUAUUGCCACGCGAGAGGUGAAAUUCUAAGACCGUCGCAAGACUAACUACUGCGAAAGCAUUUGCCAAGAACGCUUUCAUUAAUCAAGAACGAAAGUUAGAGGAUCGAAGGCGAUCAGAUACCGCCCUAGUUCUAACCUUAAACGAUGCCAACUAGCGAUCCGCUUAAGUCAUUCCCACGACUGGGCGGGCAGCCCAGGGAAACCAAAGUUUUUGGGUUCCGGGGGAAGUAUGGUUGCAAAGCUGAAACUUCUUAAAGGAAUUGACGGAAGGCACCACCAGGAGUGGAGCUGCGGCUUAAUUUGACUCAACACGGGGAAACUCACCAGGCCCAGACACCGGAAGGAUUGACAGAUUGAGAGCUCUUUCUCGAUUCGGUGGUUGGUGGUGCAUGGCCGUUCUUAGUUGGUGGAGCGAUUUGUCUGGUUAAUUCCGAUAACGAACGAGAUUCUCGCCUACUAACUAGUCGGCGGAUCGUUACCCGAGACGGGUUUCCUGCCGGAGUUAAACGGUCGUGGCAUCGGCUUCUCUUCUCGCGUUCGUCCGCGCUUGCUUCUGGGGAAGUUCCGGGGUGGAGUCGUUGGCUUUGGCGUCCAGGGGGUCUUUCGAGGCUUCCGAAGCGUCGGAGUCACCUCCCUUCGAGCGACUCUUUGAGGUAUUGCGCGUUAUGGGCGGCGCGGGGUCUUGAGGGUCGUACACGUCGCGACGAAGUUUGCUUUGCGAGUAGGGCCCUGAAUGGGGCGUCCGUCGCAACCUCUUCUUAGGGGGAUUGGCGGUGUCCAGCCGUAAGAGAGAGAGCAAUAACAGGUCUGUUGAAUGCCCUUAGAUGUUCUGGGCCGCACGCGCGCUACAAUGAAGGGAUCAGCGUGCUUCCUCCCUCCGAAAGGAGUGGGUAACCACUGAAACCCCUCCCCGAUUGGGAUUGGGGAUUGUAAAUGUUUCCCCAUGAACGAGGAAUUCCUAGUAAGCGCGAGUCAUUAGCUCGCGCUGAUUACGUCCCUGCCCUUUGUACACACCGCCCGUCGCUACUACCGAUUGAAUGAUUAAGUGAGGGCGUCGGACCAUCGCCCACGGUCUAUAAGCCGAAGAUAGCGCCAAAGUCUUGGGGAAUCCUCGUUCGCGGGGCCCUCUCGACUGCUUUCGACGGUAGACCCCGGGUUUGACGGAAAGACGUCCGAACUUGAUUAUUUAGAGGAAGUAAAAGUCGUAACAAGGUUUCCGUAGGUGAACCUGCGGAAGGAUCAUUA